AAAUUCUCCUGGCGGCCUCCGUUCAGACGCGGCAGCUGUGACCCACCUGCCUCCUCCGCAGAGCAAUGGCGGUGUCUGCCGGGUCCGCGCGGACCUCGCCCAGCUCAGGGUUCUUGAUGGUGCUAGACAUUCCCCAGGAGCGGGGGCUCAGCUCUCUGGACCGGAAAUACCUUGAUGGGCUGGUCUCAAACUCAUGACCUUAAGUAUCCACCUGCCUUGGCCUCCCAAAGGGCUGGGAUUACAGGUGUGAGCCACCGUGCCCAGCCAAAUCUGUUUUCAUUACUACCUAUAUCUGUAUUUUCAACCUUUGUAUUAGCAUCUAGUUAGGGAUAGACCAGGACAGGGCCGACAUGUUAGUUGUCAAGCAGAUUGCCACCCUCCCCCACCACUGAGGAGGCCAAAUGGAGUUUGGUGGAAAAUCUCUAAUUCAUUCAAGGUAUUAUAUGGGCAAGCAAUGGCUGUGGCACAGGGUCCCCUGAUUACUUUGUAAGAAUGGGUGGGAGGGAUGCUGAUUUUCAAUCCUUUUGCAGAUCUUCUCUCAUAGUAACACAAUAGAAGAUACU
rnacentral:lncRNA from 1 species